CUUCUUGAAAACACUGACGUGUUGGAUCUAGAAGGUUUCAAUAAUGCAUUUGGCUGGCAUGCAUAUUUGUGGUACGAUAAGGUAAAAGCACAUAAAGCGUUUAAAAAUCAUAUUGUUAGAAAAGCAUUGUUUAAUGUUUGGAUAAGAUAUAAGGAUUUGUUAGAAAAGAAAACCCCAAGAUGGUUGUCACCAAUGGAAGCGAAGGCACAGAAAAAACUCAAUAUGGAGGCCAAAUGGCCGAAAUAUUGGGAAAUUCUGGAUCAAGAUGGAGACAGAAUAAAAUUGCAGAGCUUUGAAAAAUUGAAAAACAAAGUGCGAGAUUGGCUCCAUUAUUACCAAAUAAUGGAGGCAUACAAUUUGGACAAAAAAGUUGGUUUCCAGGUGGAAAAAUCAAAAUUGGAAACAGAAUUGUUAGAUC